GGUUUAAUUCGAAGCAACGCGAAGAACCUUACCAGGUCUUGACAUCUUCUGACAAUUCCAGAGAUGGAACGUUCCCUUCGGGGACAGAAUGACAGGUGGUGCAUGGUUGUCGUCAGCUCGUGUCGUGAGAUGUUGGGUUAAGUCCCGCAACGAGCGCAACCCUUAUUGUCAGUUGCCAUCAUUAAGUUGGGCACUUUGGCGAGACUGCGGUGACAAACCGGA
rnacentral:rRNA from 1 species